CAAAGUGUAGCUUAAACAAAGCAUCUGGCCUACACCCAGAAGACUUCAUCAAAAAUGACCACUUUGA
rnacentral:tRNA from 1 species